rnacentral:ribozyme from 13 species
GAAGAAAAGAAAAGCAAGAAAAGAAAAAGAAAGACACACAAGUAAGUUUUUGUUUUUUUGUUUUUUUGUUUUUUUGUUUUUUUGUUUUUU